CUGCAGCAAAUAGCUAAAGAAAGGCAAAAGCAAUAUAACUGCCUGACACAGAGGAUUGAGCGAGAGAAGAAAUUGUUCGUUAUUGCACAGAAAAUUCAAACACGCAAAGAUCUUCUGGAUAAAACUCAGAAGGUGAAGGUGAAGAAAGGAACAGUAAACUCCCCAGCUAUUUACAAAUUUCAGAGUCGUCGAAAACGUUGACAUGUUAUAGAUAAGCCCUGUCAUUCCACAUUGAAAAAUAUUUUUUUUUGUAACUUCAAAUUCCAUCAGUUCAAAUGGCAUGAUUUUUUGGUUUGUAACCAUAACUUAUUGUUGAUUUGACAUUUGAUGUCUUUCUAUCAACAUUAACUUCCCUUUCCCUCUGUUUUCCUCUGUUAAUUGUUUUUGGAUUGUGGAAUCAGUCUUAUUUUUAUAUACGUCAUUUUUUAAAAUUAGAAAGUUAUAGAAUAUUACAGCAAAUUUGGAAAAUGGAUUAAUUAAUUCCUAAUUCUGAUGCUUAAAUUUCAAGAACAAGUAUUUAUUGGAUACUUAACUGUGCUAGGAGCUAGAGCUGUAGAGGUGAGCAAUUACUAUGAGCAUUUGAGCUUAUUUCCUCCGUUUUGUAAAGGUACAUGUUAGUUUUUGUCUAUGUUUUUUGUUUUAUAGUUGUAAUUAUAGUAAACAGUUUUAUGUUUUACUUCUUAAUUAAAUCGGUAUCUCUUCCAUUUUGUUACACCACAAAAUUUUAGAAAGUAACAUAUGAUCACAGUUAAAAUUAAAAUAAAUAUUGUUUUUGAUGAUU